CUCUCUGCUUUCAGCCUCUUAAUGGCCGACCUUCUGUGGCGUUUCUGCUCUUUUCGUUUUUCUUUGUCAACGACAACAGAGGAGAUGCAUCCCUGCAAGGAAUAAGCCAACAGUCUCCAGUUUCUGGACUGCAACCCAGCAAACAAGAUGCUUAUGAAUUAUGCAUGACUGUGAGCUGCAAAAAUCCAUUUAUUCUUUCUGUUCCCAACGACUGUAUGAAUCGUCAGAUGCAGAAGGAAAAGGAAGGUGUUCCAGAUUGCAGUUCUACCACCAGCUUGGAAAAUAGUCUGGCUAAACAAGAACAUGAAUCCCCUUUGACUCAAGGGGGCAAGCAUAACCUAGGAUUAAGGGGGAAAAUCUCCCCCAAACCUUUAAUAUGGAGGACACCUCAAACAGUCCGUAGAAGUUGUAAUGCAAGCUUUAAAUCUCCUGU